rnacentral:rRNA from 1 species
CCUACGGGAGGCAGCAGUGAGGAAUAUUGGUCAAUGGGCGCGAGCCUGAACCAGCCAAGUAGCGUGAAGGAUGACUGCCCUACGGGUUGUAAACUUCUUUUUUAAAGGAAUAAAGUGAGGCACGUGUGCCUUUUUGUAUGUACUUUAUGAAUAAGGAUCGGUGAGCUCCUUGCCAGCAGCCGCGGUAAUACGGAGGAUCCGAGCGUUAUCCGGAUUUAUUGGGUUUAAAGGGAGCGUAGAUGGGUUGUUAAGUCAGUUGUGAAAGUUUGCGGUGAAACCGUAAAAUUGCAAUUGAUACUGGCAGCCUUGAGUACAGUUGAGGUAGGCGGAAUUCGUGGUGUAGCGGUGAAAUGCAUAGAUAUCACGAAGAACUCCGAUUGCGAAGGCAGCCUACUAAACUGCCACUGACAUUGAUGCUCGAAAGUGUGGGUAUCAAACAGGAGUAGAUACCCCAGUAGUC